AUUGAACGCUGGCGGCAGGCCUAACACAUGCAAGUCGAACGAGUGGCGGACGGGUGAGUAAUGUCUGGGAAACUGCCUGAUGGAGGGGGAUAACUACUGGAAACGGUAGCUAAUACCGCAUACCAUCAGAUGUGCCCAGAGGGGAUUAGCUCGUAGGUGGGGUACCGGCUCACCUAGGCGACGGUCCCUAGCUGGUCUGAGAGGAUGACCAGACACACUGGAACUGAGACACGGGCCAGACUCCUACGGGAGGCAGCAGUGGGGAAGAUGGCACAAUGGGCGCAAGCCUGAUGCAGCCAUGCCGCGUGUAUGAAGAAGGCCUUCGGGUUGUAAAGUACUUUCAGCGGGGAGGCGUUACCCGCAGAAGAAGCACCGGCUAACUCCGUGCCAGCAGCCGCGGUAAUUC
rnacentral:rRNA from 1 species